rnacentral:rRNA from 1 species
GAUGAACGCUAGCGGCAGGCUUAAUACAUGCAAGUCGUGGGGCAGCAUGAAGUAGCAAUACUUUGAUGGCGACCGGCAAACGGGUGCGGAACACGUACACAACCUUCCUUUUAGUGGGGAAUAGCCCAGAGAAAUUUGGAUUAAUACCCCGUAACAUAGCGAUGUGGCAUCACAUUGCUAUUAUAGCUUCGGCGCUAAAUGAUGGGUGUGCGUAUGAUUAGAUAGUUGGCGAGGUAACGGCUCACCAAGUCUACGAUCAUUAGCUGAUGUGAGGGCAUGAUCAGCCACACGUGAACUGAGACACGGGCCCGACUCCUACGGGAGGCAGCAGUAAGGAAUAUUGGUCAAUGGACGAAAGUCUGAACCAGCCAUGCCGCGUGAAGGAUUAAGGUCCUCUGGAUUGUAAACUUCUUUUAUAUGGGACGAAAAAAGGUCUUUCUAGAUCACUUGACGGUACCAUAUAAAUAAGCACCGGCUAACUCCGUGCCAGCAGCCGCGGUAAGAC